rnacentral:rRNA from 1 species
CGGGUGAGUAACGCGUGAGGAACCUGCCUCAAAGAGGGGGACAACAGUUGGAAACGACUGCUAAUACCACAUAAGCCCACGGCUCGGCAUCGAGCAGAGGGAAAAGGAGCAAUCCGCUUUGAGAUGGCCUCGCGUCCGAUUAGCUAGUUGGUGAGGUAACGGCCCACCAAGGCGACGAUCGGUAGCCGGACUGAGAGGUUGAACGGCCACAUUGGGACUGAGACACGGCCCAG